rnacentral:rRNA from 1 species
UACGGAGGGAGCAAGCGUUGCUCGGAAUCAUUGGGCGUAAAGCGCGUGUAGGCGGCUUGGCAAGUCGAGUGUGAAAUCCCAGGGCCCAACCCUGGAACUGCACCCGAAACUGCCUCGCUGAAGUCCCGGAGAGGGUGGCGGAAUUUCCGGUGUAGAGGUGAAAUUCGUAGAUACCGGAAGGAACACCAGUGGCGAAGGCGGCCACCUGGACGGUGACUGACGCUGAGACGCGAAAGCGUGGGGAGCAAACAGG